ensembl:misc_RNA Metazoa_SRP Metazoan signal recognition particle RNA
GCCAGGCAUGGUAGUGCAUGCCUGUAGUCCCAGCUACUUAGGAGGCUGAGGCAGUAGAAUCACUUGAACCUGGGAGGCCAGAGUUGCAGUGAGCUGAGAUUGUGCCAAUGCACUCCAGCCUAGGUGACAGAGUGAGACUCUGUCUCAA